rnacentral:rRNA from 1 species
AUUGAACGCUGGCGGCAUGCCAAACACAUGCAAGUCGAACGGUAACGCGGGGGCAACCCUGGCGACGAGUGGCGGACGGGUGAGUAAUACGUAGGAAUCUGCCCAUUUGUGGGGGAUAACCCGGCGAAAGCCGGGCUAAUACCGCAUACGCCCUACGGAGGAAAGCGGGGGAUCGUAAGACCUCGCGCUCAUGGAUGAGCCUACGUCGGAUUAGCUAGUUGGUAGGGUAACAGCCUACCAGGGCGACGAUCCGUAGCUGGUCUGAGAGGGCGAUCAGCCACACUAGGACUGAGACACGGCCCAGACUCCUACGGGAGGCAGCAGUGGGGAAUAUUGGACAAUGGGGGCAACCCUGAUCCAGCAAUGCCGCGUGUGUGAAGAAGGCCUGCGGGUUGUAAAGCACUUUCAGAGGGGAAGAAAAAAUCGGAGCUAACAUCUCCGGUCUUGACGUUACCCUUAGAAGAAGCACCGGCUAACUUCGUGCCAGCCGCCGCAGUAACAC